GACGAACGCUGGCGGCGUGCUUAAUACAUGCCAGUCGAACGGAAAGGCCCUGCUUUUGUGGCGUGCUCGAGUGGCGAACGGGUGAGUAACACGUGUGUAACCCGUCCUUGUCUUUGGGAUAACUUCAGGAAACUGGGGCUAAUACCGGAUAGAAUCUCCUGCUGCAUGGUGGUGGUUGGAAAGUUUCGCCCGUAGUGUAUCGUCUCGCGGCUUAUCAGCCUCCUGGUCGGGUAGUAGCUUAACAAGGUUUUCACGGGUAGCCGGCAUGCCAGGGUGACCCACCACAUUAGGACUGAGAUACGGCCCAGAGUCCUACGGGGGGCAGCGGUGAGAAAUAUUGCACAAUGGGCAGAAGCCUGAUACAGCAACGCCGCGUGCGGAAUGACGGCCUACGGGUUGUGAACCGCUUUCGCCUGUGACGGAGCGUGAGUGACGGUAAUGGGUAAAAAAGCACCGGCUAACUACGUG
rnacentral:rRNA from 1 species